AACGAACGCUGGCGGCAUGCCUAACACAUGCAAGUCGAACGAGACCUUCGGGUCUAGUUGCGCACGGGUGCGUAACGCGUGGGAACCUGCCCUUAGGUUCGGAAUAACUCCCCGAAAGGGGUGCUAAUACCGGAUAAUGUCUUCGCACCAAAGAUUUAUCGCCUUUGGAUGGGCCCGGGUUGGAUUAGCUAGUUGGUAGGGUAAAAGCCUACCAAGGCGACGAUCCAUAGCUGGUCUGAGAGGAUGAUCAGCCACGCUGGGACUGAGACACGGCCCAGACUCCUACGGGAGGGAGCAGUGGGGAAUAUUGGACAAGGGGCGAAAGCCUGAUACAGCAAUGCCGGGUGAGUGAUGAAGGCCUUAGGGUUGUAAAGCUCUUUUACCCGGGAUGAUAAUGACAGUACCGGGAGAAUAAGCUCCGGCUAACUACGUG
rnacentral:rRNA from 1 species